AAGUUCACAAAGGAGUAAACGUUUACAGGCUAAUUUUAGGAGCAGUAAGCUAGCAGACAGGUGGGCGCGCGCCCCCGUUGAGCCCCAGCUCCGCGUGCGGUGCGCGGCCGCCAGAAUUCGGAGUCUGCGCUGUGGUCGCCAUGGAUAUGGAGAGCGCCUCAUUCAUGAACCGAGCCGCAGUGGAGGAAUUUCAGAUCAUUAUUCCAGCUCCAUUGGACGAUGGUGCGGAGAAGGAAGGAUCUGAACGUGUCAAACCCAAGCUGUGACCACAAUUGUAGGAUUUUGUACAAAAACACAAGUGAAAGAGCUUUCCCUCCACGAGCCGGGGUCUCCACAGCUCUUUCCAGUAAAGGUCACGGCUGCCAGGAUUUCCUCGCCGCUUCCCAGCAGCCAUGAGGAGUAUCACAAGGCCCUGUAAUAACCUUCCCACAAAAAAAAAAAAAAAAAAAAAAAGAAA